rnacentral:rRNA from 1 species
UACGUAGGGGGCAAGCGUUGUCCGGAAUCAUUGGGCGUAAAGCGCGUGUAGGCGGCCCGGUAAGUCCGCUGUGAAAGUCGGGGGCUCAACCCUCGAAUGCCGGUGGAUACUGUCGGGCUAGAGUGCGGAAGAGGCGAGUGGAAUUCCUGGUGUAGCGGUGAAAUGCGUAGAUAUCGUUUGGAACGCCAAUGGUGAAAACAGGUUGCUGGGAGUGUGCUGACGCUGAGACACGAAAGCCAGGGGAGCAAACGGG